rnacentral:rRNA from 1 species
UGGGGAAUCUUGCGCAAUGCGCGAAAGCGUGACGCAGCAACGCCGCGUGGGGGAAGAAGGCCUUCGGGUUGUAAACCCCUUUCAGGAGGGACGAAGGUAGGGCGGUGAACAGCCGUCCCUACUGACGGUACCUCCAGAAGAAGCCCCGGCUAACUACGUGCCAGCAGCCGCGGUAAUACGUAGGGGGCAAGCGUUGUCCGGAAUCAUUGGGCGUAAAGCGCGCGUAGGCGGCCCGGUAAGUCCGCUGUAAAAGUCCAGGGCUCAACCCUGGAAAGCCGGUGGAUACUGUCGGGCUAGAGUCCGGAAGAGGCGAGUGGAAUUCCUGGUGUAGCGGUGGAAUGCGCAGAUAUCAGGAGGAACACCGAUGGCGAAGGCAGCUCGCUGGGACGGUACUGACGCUGAGGCGCGAAAGCGUGGGGAGCGAACAGGAUUAGAUACCCUGGUAGUCCACGCCGUAAACGAUGGGCACUAGGUGUGGGAGGUGUCGACUCCUCCCGUGCCGUCG